AGACGUGGCCAACGUGGGUCAAAAUGUAGUAUGUGUUCUUAUCAGCUUAAUAUCUCAUACAGGUUCUAUUUGGACCCAGGAUAUUAAACCUAGUUUUUCAAGUUGCCGGAGUCUUUGACGCCUGCUUCACCAAUAUUUUUGUCCAAUAUGUUUCUGUGUACCUUAAAAUCAAAGCGUUGUCUUAACUUAA